ACCCAAAUAGUCGAGUGGCUAAGACGCCUUGAGAUCAUGGAUCAUUCAUCCCAAAACUAUAUAAGUAUUCCAAGGAGGCGGAGGUUCGAUUCCUCCUUUGAGUU